AGGGGCCUACGGGAGGCAGCAGUAGGGAAUUUUCGUCAAUGGGCGCAAGCCUGACCCAGCAACGCCGCGUGAAGGAAGAAGGCUUUCGGGUUGUAAACUUCUUUUAUGAGGGACGAAAGAAAUGACGGUACCUCAUGAAUAAGCCACGGCUAACUACGUGCCAGCAGCCGCGGUAAUACGUAGGUGGCAAGCGUUAUCCGGAUUUACUGGGUGUAAAGGGCGUGUAGGCGGGACUGCAAGUCAGAUGUGAAAAUUGUGGGCU
rnacentral:rRNA from 1 species